GAUGAACGCUGGCGGCGUGCCUAAUACAUGCAAGUCGAGCGAACGGACGAGAAGCUUGCUUCUCUGAUGUUAGCGGCGGACGGGUGAGUAACACGUGGAUAACCUACCUAUAAGACUGGGAUAACUUCGGGAAACCGGAGCUAAUACCGGAUAAUAUUUUGAACCGCAUGGUUCAAAAGUGAAAGACGGUCUUGCUGUCACUUAUAGAUGGAUCCGCGCUGCAUUAGCUAGUUGGUAAGGUAACGGCUUACCAAGGCAACGAUGCAUAGCCGACCUGAGAGGGUGAUCGGCCACACUGGAACUGAGACACGGUCCAGACUCCUACGGGAGGCAGCAGUAGGGAAUCUUCCGCAAUGGGCGAAAGCCUGACGGAGCAACGCCGCGUGAGUGAUGAAGGUCUUCGGAUCGUAAAACUCUGUUAUUAGGGAAGAACAUAUGUGUAAGUAACUGUGCACAUCUUGACGGUACCUAAUCAGAAAGCCACGCCUAACUACGUGCCAGCAGCCGCGGUAAUACGUAGGUGGCAAGCGUUAUCCGGAAUUAUUGGGCGUAAAGCGCGCGUAGGCGGUUUUUUAAGUCUGAUGUGAAAGCCCACGGCUCAACCGUGGAGGGUCAUUGGAAACUGGAAAACUUGAGUGCAGAAGAGGAAAGUGGAAUUCCAUGUGUAGCGGUGAAAUGCGCAGAGAUAUGGAGGAACACCAGUGGCGAAGGCGACUUUCUGGUCUGUAACUGACGCUGAUGUGCGAAAGCGUGGGGAUCAAACAGGAUUAGAUACCCUGGUAGUCCACGCCGUAAACGAUGAGUGCUAAGUGUUAGGGGGUUUCCGCCCCUUAGUGCUGCAGCUAACGCAUUAAGCACUCCGCCUGGGGAGUACGACCGCAAGGUUGAAACUCAAAGGAAUUGACGGGGACCCGCACAAGCGGUGGAGCAUGUGGUUUAAUUCGAAGCAACGCGAAGAACCUUACCAAAUCUUGACAUCCUUUGACAACUCUAGAGAUAGAGCCUUCCCCUUCGGGGGACAAAGUGACAGGUGGUGCAUGGUUGUCGUCAGCUCGUGUCGUGAGAUGUUGGGUUAAGUCCCGCAACGAGCGCAACCCUUAAGCUUAGUUGCCAUCAUUAAGUUGGGCACUCUAAGUUGACUGCCGGUGGCAAACCGGAGGAAGGUGGGGAUGACGUCAAAUCAUCAUGCCCCUUAUGAUUUGGGCUACACACGUGCUACAAUGGACAAUACAAAGGGCAGCGAAACCGCGAGGUCAAGCAAAUCCCAUAAAGUUGUUCUCAGUUCGGAUUGUAGUCUGCAACUCGACUACAUGAAGCUGGAAUCGCUAGUAAUCGUAGAUCAGCAUGCUACGGUGAAUACGUUCCCGGGUCU
rnacentral:rRNA from 1 species